rnacentral:rRNA from 1 species
UACGAGAGGCCCAAACGUUAUUCGGAUUUACUGGGCUUAAAGAGUUCGUAGGCGGCGCAGAAAGUGGGGUGUGAAAGCCCUCAGCUCAACCGAGGAAUUGCGCUCCAAACUACUGUGCUAGAGGAAGCUAGAGGUGAGCAGAACAGAUGGUGGAGCGGUGAAAUGCGUUGAUAUCAUCUGGAAUACCGGAGGCGAAGGCGGCUCACUGGGGCUUUUCUGACGCUGAGGAACGAAAGCCAGGGUAGCGAACGGG